UCUCUCCCAACUCUCCCUAACUCUCUCCCUUGUACGUGCUUUUGAUCUCUCCUACUCUCUCUCAACACUCUCUCGAAUCUCUCUCAACACUCUCUCGAAUCUCUCUCUCUGCAAUUGCGGAGGCAACUAAGGAUGUCACCGAUGGUGAGAGUUCGGAGAAUGACAUUGAUGGGGAUGUCGGGAUGAUGAUGGUGAUGGCGAUGAGGAAGAUUGAAGUGAAGCUACCUAGCUAGAUGCAUUAUUGGUAGGGAUGCUGAUUUUGUUAAAACAUUGCUUUUGGCUUUUGAUUGUUCAGCUGUAAUGUAUAUGAUUGUUGGCUUUUGUUGGCUUUUGGGUGAUUGUUCAGCUGUAACAUUUAUGUCGUACUGAAUUUUAUAACUGUUCUUGUUUAAAUAUAUGAAUGCUUGUUGGCUUUUAAAUUG